GGUAGCAGACAAGCAUUUGACUGCUAUUAAAGUGGCUAAGGCCAUGAACAUGGAUGGACCUGCGGUGCAUUAGCUAGUUGGUGAGGUAACGGCCCACCAAGGCGACGAUGCAUAGCCGGCCUGAGAGGGCGGACGGCCACAUUGGGACUGAGACACGGCCCAAACUCCUACGGGAGGCAGCAUG
rnacentral:rRNA from 1 species